rnacentral:rRNA from 1 species
CUGGGCGUAAGGAUGCGUAGGCGGAUGUUUAAGUGAGAUGUGAAAUCCCCGGGCUUAACUUGGGGGCUGCAUUUCAAACUGGAUAUCUAGAGUGCGGGAGAGGAGAAUGGAAUUCCUAGUGUAGCGGUGAAAUGCGUAGAGAUUAGGAAGAACACCAGUGGCGAAGGCGAUUCUCUGGACCGUAACUGACGCUGAGGCAUGAAAGCGUGGGUAGCAAACAGGAUUAGAUACCCUGGUAGUCCACGCUGUAAACGAUGAAUACUAGGUGUGGGAGGUAUCGACUCCUUCCGUGCCGCAGUUAACACAAUAAGUAUUCCGCCUGGGAAGUACGAUCGCAAGAUUAAAACUCAAAGGAAUUGACGGGGGCCCGCACAAGCAGCGGAGCAUGUGGUUUAAUUCGAAGCAACGCGAAGAACCUUACCUGGACUUGACAUCCCCUGAAUUACUCGUAAUGGAGGAAGCUCUUCGGAGCAGGGAGACAGGUGGUGCAUGGUUGUCGUCAGCUCGUGUCGUGAGAUGUUAGGUUAAGUCCUGCAACGAGCGCAACCCUUAUCAUUAGUUGCUACCAUUAAGUUGAGCACUCUAGUGAGACUGCCGUGGUUAACGCGGAGGAAGGUGGGGAUGACGUC